GGAGGAUGCGAGCGUUAUCCGGAUUUAUUGGGUUUAAAGGGUGCGUAGGCGGCACGCCAAGUCAGCGGUGAAAUNUCCGGGCUCAACCCGGAGUGUGCCGUUGAAACUGGCGAGCUAGAGUACACAAGAGGCAGGCGGAAUGCGUGGUGUAGCGGUGAAAUGCAUAGAUAUCACGCAGAACCCCGAUUGCGAAGGCAGCCUGCUAGGGUGAAACAGACGCUGAGGCACGAAAGCGUGGGUAUCGAACAGGAUUAGAUACCCUGGUAGUCCACGCAGUAAACGAUGAAUACUAACUGUUUGCGAUACAAUGUAAGCGGUACAGCGAAAGCGUUAAGUAUUCCACCUGGGGAGUACGCCGGCAACGGUGAAACUCAAAGG
rnacentral:rRNA from 1 species